AGCGGGCGCCCAUGUAUGGCUAAGGCUGAGCCUUAGCCGCGGUCGACCCGGGUUCGAAUCCGGACCUGUGGACCUUUGCCGCAUCUCUCUCUCUCUGUUUCCCCUCAUUCCAUGACUCUUAGUCACCAAAAAAAAAAAAAGGUCUAUAGCAUGUUAGGUAUGUUAGGAAUGUUAGCUUAGUAUAGUGCGUGAUGAAAAAAGUCGUGUUAAAAAAAAAAAAAAAAAAAGUCAAUAGUAUAGCAUGUUAGGUAUGUUAGGAAUGUUAGCCAAGAUAGUGCGUGAUGAAAAGAUUUCGUGAUAAGUCAGGAUGUUAGGUAUGUUAGGAAUGUUAGCUUAGUAUAGUGCGUGAUGAAAAAAGUCGUGUUAAAAAAAAAAAAAAAAAAAGUCAAUAGUAUAGCAUGUUAGGUAUGUUAGGAAUGUUAGCCAAGUAUAGUGCGUGAUGAAAAGAUUUCGUGAUAAGUCAGGAUGUUAGGUUAGCAUGUUAGGUAUGUUAGGAAUGUUAGCUUAGUAUAGUGCGUGAUGAAAAAAGUCGUGUUAAAAAAAAAAAAAAAAAAAGUCAAUAGUAUAGCAUGUUAGGUAUGUUAGGAAUGUUAGCCAAGUAUAGUGCGUGAUGAAAAGAUUUCGUGAUAAGUCAGGAUGUUAGCAGUGGACUUUUCACCAUCAUUUGAAAAGUAAAUGGUUACGUCACAAUAUAUAGUUUCAGUGCCUUGCUUUUGGCACACUUCAGCACAGUGGAAGCUUGAGAGUAAAACCAGGUCUUCUGGUUCAGGGCCAGUCUCCCAAAUCACUGUACCAACCUGCUGUAUGGAGUAUAAUCAUUUGCAUUGAACACAAUUGUAUGAAUCAUAAAUCUUUAAUAAAUAAAUAAAAUUAAAUGUUAUCAGAUCUCAACCCUGUUUAAGCUGCAUUGAAAAGGUGAACUAUCUGCUGCUCUUAAAGCUUCUGAGCUCAAUAUACAAAGUGAAUCCUUUGGUUUAUUUCCAUUGCUUAUUUCAUUUUUCAUUUCAUUUCAAAAUUUAUUUCAAGCAUGUAGAAUACAAAAAAA